GCCAGCCAUGAGACGGACCGGACGCGGGAGCACAGCAGCUCGCAGAUUUGGUGAGAUAGAAAUGAGAGGCUGUUGUAAAAACGGACUGGAAAAAACUGAGAGAUGCCCAUAGGAAUGCCCUCAAAAGAAGAGAGACAAAAAGUGGUCAAGCUGCAGCAAACUCAAAAAAGUGGAAGUACGAGAAAGAAAUGGAAUUUUUACUUUCCGUAUUGCCAGCUCACAGCCUACACGACAGUAAUAUUCCUGAUAUGGAUGACACGCAAGUGCCUGAAAAUCAAUCAGCAUUGUUAAUGCUGAAGCUCCUGCUGCUCCUGAUGAUGAUGAAUUUUCCAACUCUGGUCAUGAUGUCAACACAGUCCGGAACAAACCCAAAGGAGUCGACAAAAUUCUGAAUUUUCUGAAAAAUAAAGAGAUAAACAAACUUGUUCGCUCUGUCCCUGACGAAUUAGAUUUGUUUUUUGGUAGCAUAUCAAUAUCGGUAAAAAAAUUGCCUCGAAGGUUACAAAACAGAGUAAAGAGAGAAGUUUUAGAGGCAGUAAACCGAGCUGAAGAUGAACAUGAUUCACUGAUGAGUCUAAUAACACCGGCAGUGCGUCAAACUAGCUCUCCACUGGUGUCUCCAAGUACCUCCUCUGACAGCUCAACAUGGUCAGGUGGUAACUAUUCAAACCAGCCCACGAUCCUUCACCAUCAAAGUGAAACAUCACUUACAGAAAGUGGCUCAUUACUUCGAUCACUGCAAGAAGAUACAGAUGUUGAUUUGUUAGCGGAAAACUAUUCAGGACAAGCAACUGAAGACAAUCUUCAAAUACUUUAAGCACAAACCUCAUUAACUUUAAACUCAAACAAAAUAUAUCUUAUGCUGAUUUCUUUUUGUGGCUGUGGCUGGUUAAUAUAUGUCUAUCAUCUUUUACAUUUUGUCUUAUCACGGCAGCUAACAAAUAUACUUGUGUAAUCUUACUGUAAUGAAGAUAUAUUUUUACUCCAUUUCCUACAACCUUAUACUAACAGGCUACGUUUCUAUUUUGACAUUAUGGGAAAGGAAUUGUUACCUUAGACAAAUAGCUAGCCGUUCCUCAGGAGGUAUUGAUUUUCUGUAAUUUGUGUCCUGUUUCUUAAUGUCACUGCCAAUGAGGGAUAAAACUUCAUUGAACUGGUCUUCAUUAAGCCUGAAGUAACUUCUAAACUUUUCAUCGUCAAGCUGUAAAUCUUGCAUUAGGUGGUGGUAUUCGCCAUACACUGUUGUUCUAACAUUUAUCGGAUGAACCCAAUUCGAUUUAUUUGACACUGAAUACAACAACAACAGUUCAUCAUCACUAUCGCUACUUGAACUACAGUCCAUCCACGGCACACUGAAGUUGAUGUCUGGCUCACACCACGGCACACUGAACGCCAUUUCUGGUACCAUGCACAAACUGUACUCACGUUAGCACACCAUCUCAACAACUGAGCAAAUACGAAGAUGGGAUAGAAAACGUAGCUCAUAAUACGUAGCUUUCGGUUUGAAGGGUACGUAUCUCUAGUCAGGAUACGUGCUACGUCCUGCGACGUCUU